rnacentral:piRNA from 1 species
UCCUGAACCACAGAGUAUUUCUGGGUGGGC